rnacentral:ncRNA from 1 species
GAGAUAGAGGUCGCAUGAUCUAUGAGUAGGCUGUUUGAUGCGCCGGAAGCAGGAGAGAGCAGCUGAAAGGAGAGCGUGCCGAAAGGGCAGCCGGAUUUCGGACAGCUGUUUCUUGGGCGCAGUGUGAAAAAUGCUGCGACUGUCAUCGAAUGAGAUGGAGCGCUAUCA